GGAAAAGGGAAGAAACUGACUCACAACUGAGUAAGUCACUGCCCUCGGGCUGAAUAGGGAUUCCAAGUGGAAGCUAACCUCUGACACCAAGAUUUAUAGAAUGUACAUGACUCACAUAGGAAUUUUAAAAUUCUCAAACUCAUCUGUAUAAUUUAAACAAGUUAUUAGAUUAUAUACACAGAAGUCAACAUGUCACAACUAAUCAUAUCCAAUGAACUCACACACUCAUCUGUAUCCAAAGUCCCCCACCCUUUUUUUCUUUUAAAACAGGGUCUUGCUCUUUUCACCAGGCUGGAGUACAGUGGCAUGAUCUCUGCUCACAGCAGCCUGGACCUCCUGGGCUCAAGUGAUCCUCCAGCCUCUGCCUACAGAGUAGCUGAAAUUACAGGUGCACAUUAUCAUGCCUGGUUUUUGUUUUCGUUUUUUUUUUUUUUUUUUUGAUAGAGAUGGGGGCAAUGACUAUUUUGCCCAGGCUGGUCUUGAACUCCUGGAUUCAAGCAAUCUCUCUGUCCCAGUCUCCUAAAGUGCUGGGAUUACAGGCAUGAGCCACUGCGCCUGGCCCCUCUUUCUUCAUUACUGUGCUUCCCUCCCUAAUUCUGUGCAUAUCUCUCAUUCUCCCCUUCUCUUUCUAGCUCUUGUUUUCUUUUCUUUUUCCCUGGGAUUGUGCUCCUUAUUUUGUACCUCUCUCCUCUCCUGCAAUUUAUCCCCUUCUUCCCUCUAUUGCUUCUCUUCCACCUCUUCUGCUCCAUCCUCACAACUUAUUUAACCUUUUUUUUUUUUUUUUUUUUGAGACGGAGUUUCCAUCUUGUUGCCCAGGCUGGAGUGCAAUGGUGCGAUCUUGGCUCACUGCAACCUCCGCCUCCCAGGUUCAAGCAAUUCUCCUUCCUCAGACUUCCUAGUAGCUGGCAUUACAGGCAUGUGCAACCGUGCCUGCCUUAUUUUGUAUUUUUAGUAGAGACGGGGUUUCUCCAUGUUGGUCAGGCUGCUCUCAAACUCUGGACCUCAGGUGAUCCGCCCACCUCAGCCUCCCAAAGUGCUGGGAUUAUAGGCAUGAGCCACAGCGUCUGGUCCUUAUUGAAGGGGGCCAGCCCCUCCACACCUGUGAGUAUUUCUCAUCAGGUGAGAUGAGAGACUGAGAAAAGAAAUAAGACAGAGACAACGUAUAGAGAAAGAACAGUGGGCUCAGAGGACCAGCACUCAGCAUACGGAGGAUCCGCACCAGCCGAGGUCUCUGAGUUCCCUCAAUAUUUAUUGAUCACUAUCUCUACCAUCUCAGAGAGGGGGAUGUGGAAGGACUGUAGGGUAAUGGUGGGGAGAAGGUCAGCAGGAAAUCAUGUAAGCAAAGCUCUCUGUGUCAUAAAUAAGUUUAAGGAAAGAUGCUGUACCUCGAUGUGCAUGUAGGGUAGAUUUAUGUUUGACUUUACACAAACAUCUCAGUGCAGUAAACAGCAGUAUUGCCACCAGCAUGUCUCACCUACAGCCAUAAGGCAGUUUUCUCCUAUCUCUGUAAACAGAACAUACGAUUGGGUUUUACACCAAGAUAUUCCAUUCCCAGGGAGGAGCAGGAGACAGAGGCCUUCCUCUUAUCUCAACUGCAAAGAGGGCUAUCUCUUUCACUAACCGUCCUCAGCACAGACCCUUUACGGGUGUCUGGCUGGGGGAUGGUCAGGUCUUUCCCUUCCCACGAGGCCAUAUCUCAGGCUGUCUCAGUGGAGAGAAACCUUGGACAAUACCCAGGCUUUCUUGGGCAGAGGUCCCUGCGGCCUUCCACAGUGUAUUCUGUCCCAGGGUACUCGAGACUGGAGAAUGGCGAUGACUUUUACCAAGCAUACUGCCUGCAAACACAUUUUAACAAAGCACAGCCUGCACAGCCCUAAAUCCAUUAAACCUUGGGUCAACACAGCACAUGUUUCUGUGAGCACAGGGUUGCGGCUAGGGUUACAGAUUAACAGCAUCUCAAAGCAGACUAAUUUCUCUUAGUACAGACCAAAAUGGGGUUUCUUAUGUCUACUUCUUUCUACAUAGACACAGUAACAGUCUGAUCUCUCUUUUUUUUCCCCAAACCUUAUUUAACCUCUUGUUGCUCCUUCUCCCCAAUCUUUCAAUCGUCCUCAAUCUCUAUAUAUUACCGCCUCUUCUCUUAUCUCUCCAUCUCCUCUGCUCUCCCUGUUAAAUUCUCUCUUCCCUGUUACAGCCCCCAGUCCCCACUCUCUAGCACCCCAGAUCCCCAGGUGUCCUCCCUGCUGUGGUUCUCCCUCUGGUCUCCGUGCCACCAGCACCACUCUGCUCUGUCUGCCCUGGCUCCAAAUCCCUCCUCCUCUCCCUCACUCUGGUGAGCCUCCCUCUUUGCUGCCCCUCUCCCUAUCUUGUCCUUCAUCUCUGUACAUCUAGCUCUUCUCUACAUUUCUCCAGUUGCUUUUCUCCUCCUGCUUUCUUAUUUUUUCUUUCACUUUUGCUGUCUCUUGGCAAAUUUCUCACCCAUCCUCUACUUUGCCAUCUGUUACGGGCCUUUCUCAUUCUUCUUUUCUCUGUCUCUGGUUUUCUACUGCUCUCUCAGUCCCUCUCUCUAUCUCCUCAUCUCUUUGACCCAAACAAUCACACGCGGGUUUGGAGUAAGAGGCCUACAUCCUGGAGAAGCGCAUUUUCCAGGAGGUGGAGCUGGGCAGGCAAGAACACCCGGUGUCAUAGGACAAGGCCCUGGGACCUCCCCAACGCUGGCUCAGGGGAAGCGGUGACUGCGGAGGGAAGACUUGGGGAGCAGCAGGGCCCGGCACGAGGAGGGACAUAGUGGGAGACGGCGCCUUAAGACAUGGGUGGCACCUGCAGGCUCCCAGGACCAGGCAGAGGACCCAGCCUCCCCAGGACUGGGGCCCCGGCGCUGCGCUCCAGGGGAGGCCGACGGGGGCUGGGAGGCGCCCAGGGCGGGAAUCCAGCGCACGGGUGAGGACUUUAAAAAGCAAGGGGCAGGAUGAGUCAACAAGGUUUUGAGCAGGAAAACUAUGCGAUAGGAAGUGUAUACAUUGCCCUAUAGCAGAAAGACCGGGGACGGGACCAGCCUCCAAGCGACUUCAAACCCAAAAGGAAGCAACUUCCAGACUCUUAUGGGCGUCUCAAUUUGCUCUGGGUGAAGGAAGACAGGCAAGAAUUUCCAGGUCUGUGAGGACCCCACGUCCCAGGGACAGAAGUGCCAGGGACCUGGGAAGUGCAGACUUAAUACAAGGCAGAGCAAAACUCACGCGCCUCGGUAGGACCUUUACUCCACGUGAUCCACUUCCGGGUUUGCUGCG
rnacentral:lncRNA from 10 species